rnacentral:rRNA from 1 species
AGAAUCAACGCUGGCGGCGUGCCUAACACAUGCAAGUCGAACGAGAAAGUGGAGCAAUCCAUGAGUAAAGUGGCGCACGGGUGAGUAACACGUGACUAACCUACCCUGGAGUGGGGGAUAACUGAGGGAAACCUUAGCUAAUACCGCAUAAUACCUACGGGUCAAAGGAGCAAUUCGCUUAAGGAGGGGGUCGCGGCCGAUUAGUUAGUUGGCGGGGUAAUGGCCCACCAAGACUGUGAUCGGUAUCCGGCCUGAGAGGGCGCACGGACACACUGGAACUGAAACACGGUCCAGACUCCUACGGGAGGCAGCAGUGGGGAAUUUUGCGCAAUGGGGGAAACCCUGACGCAGCAACGCCGCGUGGAGGAUGAAGUCCUUCGGGACGUAAACUCCUUCCGAUCGGGACGAUUAUGACGGUACCGGAAGAAGAAGCCCCGGCUAACUUCGUGCCAGCAGCCGCGGUAAUACGAGGGGGGCGAGCGUUGUUCGGAAUUAUUGGGCGUAAAGGGUGCGUAGGCGGUUUUGUAAGUCUUAUGUGAAAUCUAUGGGCUCAACUCAUAGACUGCAUGAGAAACUGCAGGGCUUGAGUGUGGGAGAGGUGAGUGGAAUUUCCGGUGUAGCGGUGAAAUGCGUAGAUAUCGGAAGGAACACCUGUGGCGAAAGCGGCUCACUGGACCACAACUGACGCUGAUGCACGAAAGCUAGGGGAGCAAACAGGAUUAGAUACCCUGGUAGUCCUAGCCCUAAACGAUGACUGCUUGGUGUGACGGGUACCCAAUCCCGCCGUGCCGUAGCUAACGCGUUAAGCAGUCCGCCUGGGGAGUACGGUCGCAAGGCUGAA